CACUGCCUGGCCAGAGGGCUGCUGGUAUCAUCUGGAGGUAAGGGAGGAGCUGAAGAGGAUGGUUUGGAGGCUCCAGGUCCUAGGCGUGACCUAAACCUGCACCCUGCUGGCAGUGAGUGGCCUAGUGGAGCUCUCAGUGGUGCGGGAGCCCCCAGGAAAUGCCAAGCCAGUGACCACCCCGGUGAAAGUAACGCUUGACCCCUGGCUCGCUGGCUUCCUUCAGGACUGUCCUCUGGAUGCAAGACUCCAGUUCCAAUCUUGGAUCUUAUCAUUGGGUCUGACAGCCCAUGUGCCAGUAGAAUAACAAAUGGAAGGCACGUGGAGAUUUGUUUCCCCUCCUGAGUCCAAAAGCAACCAAGCAAUCCAAGAUCCUCUG